UACGGAGGGUGCAAGCGUUAUCCGGAUUCAUUGGGCGUAAAGGGUGCGUAGGCUGUGGGGUAAGUCUGGUGUGAAAUCCCGGAGCUCAACUCCGGAACUGCACUGGAUACUGCUUUACUAGAGCACUGGAGAGGGAACUGGAAUUUACGGUGUAGCAGUGAAAUGCGUAGAUAUCGUAAGGAAGACCAGUGGCGAAGGGGAGUUCCUGGACAGUGGCUGAGGCUGAGGAACGAAGGCCAGGGGGCAAACAGG
rnacentral:rRNA from 1 species